GGUCUGUAGGUGUUCUGGCGGCACACGUCCGUGGUAAGGACGCGGAUCGGGUUCGAUUCCCGAACGGACCU
rnacentral:tRNA from 1 species